GCCUCUGCCUCUCCCCUGCUUGCAUGUGUGCUCUCUCUCUCUCUCCCUUUCUCUCCAUCUCUACAAUAAAUAAAUUUUUUUAAAUGAUAUUUUAUGUACCCCAACUAAAAUAUAGAGUUCUGUUUCUAAAAAACAAUACGAAAUAUUAAAGGAUAAAUUUAACAAAAGCACUGUGCAGGAUCUUUACAUUGAAAACUAUAAAACACUGCUGAGAGAAAUAAAAGAAGGCAUUAGUAAGUGGAGAGAUCUACUCUGUUCAUAGAUCAGAUAUAUGCUAUUAAGAUGUCCAUCCGUUCUCCUGAAACUGAUUUGUAGCUUUAAUACAAUCCCAAUUAUAACAUCAGCCAAUUUUUGGUAAAAAUUGAUCAGCAGACUGUAAAAUCUAUAUGGAAAUGAAAAGGAUCUGGAGUAACCGAAACAGUUUUGAAAAAGAAUGAUGUUGGAGGACUUACAUAACAUAUUACCUUAUAUUGUUACUUACUGUAAAGUUACAGUUACCAAGAUUGUGUGGUAUUCGUGUUAUAGAUGGACCAGUGGAACAGAACACAGUCCAGAAAUAGAUCCAUAUUUGGUCAAUAGAAUUUUGACAAAGGUACCAGGACAGUUCAGUGAGGAAAGGAUAAUCUUGUCAACAAAUGGUGCUGAAUCAGUUAGUGUCCAUAUGCCAAAAACUGAGAACCACUGGACUAAGGAAAUGUAACAGGGCUAUGAGCAUUGAUAAUGGUGUGUGUUUUCAUCAGCCAUAGUCAGCUCAACAGGUACAGGAGUGGAGUAGACAGCGAAUUGGGUUUUUUUCAGGGUUGUCAUUUUCCUGAGUAUAAUGAAAUAAAAGCACAAGAAGGGAGUUGAGGAUGGAUGCAAAGGAAGGGUUCUGUGAUUUGCAAAGGAAAUUUAAGUUAGGAAGGAAGGGAAGACCUCUGGGAAGGAAGUGGCACUGAAAAGGUGUAGGAACGGGUGACUCUAGGUCACGGGACCAUUGGAGCCCAGGUACUUAAACAGAGGAGCUGGAAAUCUAGGAAGUGGGAUGGAUGGGUUUGGAUUGUGGAGGGGUGCAGUUUAAUGGUAAUGCAGGGUCUAGGGUGUGACCAAAGGAAUGUGUGGAUGAGGUGUGGUGAAGGAUUAGGUUAUUGCAGGGGAGUUCAAGGACUUGAGAGGACAAGUGCCAGAGGCUCAUUUAUGUGCAUGUGAACAUUCCCACACUAUGAGACAAGAAUAGUAAUUGGAGAAAAUGACAGUGAGCCAGGAGCUAAAAUCAUCAAGAAAUGAAGGGGAGCUGUUUGGAAUUGUUGGUAUAUGUUGGCAACAAUGAAGGAUGAUGGAUGAUGUGAUCUAGUGACCUAAGUUCCAGCAUUUAGGGCGGGGGAGAGCUGUCUGGAACUGAUAAUGAGGAGAGCAUAAGGAGGUGAGCAAGGAGAACACUUUGCUCACCUCCAGACCUACUGGAGCAAAUGCUGAGAGAGGGAUUGGCUGCCAUUGAGAGGCCCACAGAGAAGAGCCCAGGGUCUGUCAGAGAAGACAAGGAAAGUUUAAGGAAGAGGUUCAGGAUAGAGGGGGUCUGGCUGCUGGUGGGGCAUGAGGGCACCGUGGAAGGGUUUCGGGAGCGAGAGAAAACUGGAAAAUAGGGUCUAGCCGGAAUAUGUGCAGUCAUAUAGGGAUUGGCACUUGGGAGAUGGGGGAUGGGCACCUGGGGCUUGGGUCGUCUUGUGGCAAAGACAUAAUCAGGGAUCAUGGGCACAGUGAGGUGAGUCCUGAAGUUCGUAGGUCGGAAAGUGGUGGCCAGGCUGUGGAAGUAGGAGGGAGUAGAUGUUAGGGUUCCCCUGGCCUUCGGAAUUGGGCAUGACAGACCUGGGAAGGAGUAUAUUGACUAUGAAAAUCUGGUUAACAACAGAAGGGAUUUUCUUUAAUUUCAGGUUGUGUGAUAUGUGUUCUGUGGAAUUUGUCAGUGGCUCUCUGAGGAGAUAACUGGUAACAAGGCCAUUCUAGAGUAACCAGGAAAAACUUCUUUCCAGCAGCAUGUGCUUAAUGGAGAGUCAGUCCACUGGCUGAGGUGAGGCUGAGAUAGCAGUCAAAAUGUUUACGAAGACUAUAGAAUGAAUUUUCAUUGGCAUGUCUUAAACCAAGUCGUCUGUCUUUUGUUGAAGAUGGAGGCAUUAAUCCUAGGAAGCUGGAUAGCUACGUGUUUUAAGAGCCUGCACUCCAGAGUCAGACAGUGGAGAUUCAAAUCCUGGCCGCACUCCUCAUUACUUAAGCAGAUCUCAGUUUUCUCUUCUGUAAAAUGUAGAUAAUAAUAGGGCCUGCUUCACAAGGUUAUGACGAGGGCCAGCCGAGGUCAUCCAUGUUGAGCACGCCUAGCUUGCUUCCCGGCACCUGGUCCGCUUCAGCAUUCGUGACUGUUGCUAUUACUGUUCAUUCGGCAGCUUACAGUCAGAACAUACUCAGUGUUCAUACUGUCCUCUGUGGCUCGCCGAACAUGUUUAAGCAUAGCUUUCUUUUUUAAGAGCUGUGGACAACUUAGUUACUUACAUUACCUUACAGUAUAAUGUUUCCCAGACUUUUAAAAUCCACAUCUUCUGUGAUGCUUUCUCAUCCUGUUGUUUUUCAUUUUCUUAUGAGCCAACAAUAUUUUAUCAUUUACUUGAUAUAUAUUUGUGUUAUUAAGUAGAAUGUUUUAACUUAAAAAAAAAAACUAUACUUUUUAUACUUCCGCUUUCCCUGUCCUCCAAAAGCUGGUAUCUUCCUCCCCCCCCACCCCCCACUGGAGAAUCAUUGUCACCUAGGGUCCUUAUGACGGCAUCAUAGAACAAUUUGGAGAUAUCUUCCCACACACAAGACCGGUAGAAGUGAAAAGAACUGAUGGCACUUCGUGCUGGUGAGGGUAUGGCAUAAUGGGCACCCUAGUCCCUUGGUGUAUGUUGGCAACAGUGAAGGAUGAUGGAUGAUGCAGGCUAAUGACCUAACAUUCCGCCUUUGGCUGUGGUGGGGCAGGGGGCGCGGAGAGCUGUCUGGAACUGGUAAUGAGGAGCAAGGUGGACACCUUGCUCGCCUCCAGGCCGAGUGGAGCAGAUGCUGAAAGACACCACCUAGCUGCCGUUGAGAGGCCUACAGAGGAGAGCCCAGCUCCUGUCAGAGAAGAUGUUCCAACCUUACUUGCUUUCAGUGCCUACCUUGGUUAAUGACUCUGCCCCGUCUUUGCCCAUCGUCCUGAGUGAACUUGGUACCCGCUUGAAGGCCCUCUGAGUCGACUGCCUGCUUCUGUCACUACUACCACUUUGUCUUUCAGCUCCACUUCCCUGCAGCCACUUAUGGGUAAAACCUUCAACAUCUCAACUUAGAACUACUCCCCCUUGAAAAUAGCAAGCCUUAGCUUCCCCUCUCUGCCCGCAAUUCGUCUUACCCAGUCUUCCAACAACCCUGCUUUUCUUCACCCUUAUGAUGACCUGCAGCCUGUAUGCUUCAAAUUCUGCUCCCACCCCCUUUUUAAAUCUGUUUUUAAUUGAAGGAGAGUUGACAUAGAAUAUUAUAUUAGUCUCAGGUGUCCAGCAUCGUCAUUUCACAUUUAUAUACGUUACAACAUGCUCACCACAGUAAGUGUAGUUACCAUCUGUCACCAUACAAAGUUUUACCAUAUUAUUGACUAUAUUCCCCCUUUUGGAUUCAGUUGCUCCAAGCUUGCAUGUUUCCCACCAUGUACUUAUUUCGGUGCUCACCUCUUAAUCCUAUUAAAUCCCUUUUGUCUCAUC